rnacentral:rRNA from 1 species
CCUACGGGUGGCAGCAGGGGGGGAUAUUGGACAAUGGGGGGAACCCUGAUCCAGCGACGCCGCGUGAGUGAAGAAGUAUUUCGGUAUGUAAAGCUCUGUCAGCAGGGAAGAAAGCAAUGACGGUACCUGACCAAGAAGCACCGGCUAACUACGGGCCAGCAGCCGCGGGAAUACGUAGGGGGCAAGCGUUAUCCGGCAUUACUGGGUGUAAAGGGAGCGUAGACGGCUCUGCAAGUCUGGAGUGAAAGGCGGGGGCCCAACCCCCGGACUGCUCUGGAAACUGUAUGGCUGGAGUGCAGGUGAGGUAAGCGGAAUUCCUAGUGUAGCGGUGAAAUGCGUAGAUAUUAGGAGGAACACCAGUGGCGAAGGCGGCUUACUGGACUGUAACUGACGUUGAGGCUCGAAAGCGUGGGGAGCAAACAGGAUUAGAUACCCUGGUAGUC